UACAGAGGUCCCAAGCGUUGUUCGGAUUCACUGGGCGUAAAGGGUGCGCAGGUGGGUUGCAAGUUCGAUGUGAAAGCCCGGGCUUAACCCGGAAUGGCAUUGGAUACUGCAGAUCUGGAGGAUCGGAGGGGGACUGGGAAUUCGUUGGUGUAGCAGUGGAAUGCGUAGAUAUCAAGAGGAACACCAGUGGCGAAGGCGAGUCCCUGGACGAUACCUGACACUGAGGCACGAAAGCUAGGGGAGCAAACAGG
rnacentral:rRNA from 1 species